AAUAUUGGACAAUGGGGGCAACCCUGAUCCAGCCAUGCCGCGAGUGUGAAGUAGGUCUUCGGAUUGUAAAGCACUUUAAGUUGGGAGGAAGGGCUUUAGGUUAAUACCCUGAAGUUUUGACGUUACCACCAGAAUAAGCACCGGCUAACUCUGUGCCAGCAGCCGAGGUAAUACAGAGGGUGCAAGCGUUAAUCGGAAUUACUGUGCGUAAAGCGCGCAUAGGUGGUUCAGUAAGAUGGGUGUGAAAGCCCCGAGCUUAACCUGGGAACUGCUUUCAUAACUGCUGAGCUAGAGUACGGUAGAGGGUAGUGGAAUUUCCUGUGUAGCUGUGAAAUGCGUAGAUAUAGGAAGGAACACCAGUGGCGAAGGCGACUACCUGGACUGAUACUGACACUGAGGUGCGAAAGCGUGGGGAGCAAAC
rnacentral:rRNA from 1 species